CUCUUGCACAUUUGGCAUUCCAUACACGCUAGUGCAGCGGAAACGAAGGAGAAACAAAUUUAUUACUAAGGAAAAUUGCUAUUUUUCACCAAAAGGAGAAUCCAAUUUCAAAAAUGUUCAGCGUCGUUUCAAGGAAAAUACUCACUGGUGCAGCUGGGGCUGCUCGUGUGAACCUUACUAGGAAUAUGGCCAAUAUCUCAACAGAAAUGCCAAAAGGAAACCCAACUGUCUACUUGAUUGGUGGUGUUACCGCCUUUCUUGUGGCAGCUUCACUGGUUCAAUUUAAUGGGCUUGUUGUAUGGGGAACUGCUCCAGACAGGAAUUCAGCUGUGAAGAAAUAGAACACACAUUGGAUGUCAACAUUUUCAGAGUUUCCCUCCAUGUUUUGUAGGAACUUCACAAGGGCAGAAAACAACACAGCGCACCAACUCCAAACAAACGCUAACAUGCGAUAUGCUCCAGAUGAUAAUAAUAAAUGUUUCUUUACCAGGCAUUCAAUAGAAAACAAACGAAUCAUAACAAUUUAUUGUAGUUCAACCUUGACAUUGAAGGACCAGGGUCGAAAUGUUGCGCACAAUAUCACAGAAUUCAGUAUUCAAAAGUCGACAAAGUACAGUAACACUUUUACAGGGUUUUUGUUGUUUCUUAAAUCUUUGUAAGAAAGAAAGUAUAUGAAAAAUGUACUGCCAUUUGCCUAAAAUCAUUACACACAGGGUGCAGGCAUUUCUCAAAGUAUAUUCAAAGAAGUGUAAAGCAAUGUGUUAUUUCAUUUCUGAAAAGCACAAAUCAUGCUUACCCAAGAAACCUGAUGCGAAAGAUUUCAACAUGUCAGGAGCAAUGUAUUUUACAAUACGAGUUAGUCAAUGUCACCUACAUGUAGUCCAGUGAACCUUGCUUUAAUAUGUGGAUGCUGCUUAUUUGAUAUUUAGAUUUUGAUCAUGACCUCAAGUCAGUUAUUGAUAAAUAUGCUGUGAAGUAUUGGAGAGUGACAAUGAAUUUAUAACUGUACAGCUAUUAAAAAAAUAUUAAUGUGGAAUUUACAAAAUUUGGGGGCAUAUUUAUGCAGUAAGUCAGGAUUUGUUUUACCUGAAUCAUGCUGUUUUAAUUGAAAUGAAAUGGAAUAAAUUUAUGAUUGUUUAAAGAA